rnacentral:rRNA from 1 species
UACGGGGGGGGGCACGCGUUGUUCGGAAUUACUGGGCGUAAAGGGCUCGUAGGCGGCCAACUAAGUCAGACGUGAAAUCCCUCGGCUUAACCGGGGAACUGCAUCUGAUACUGGAUGGCUUGAGAUUGGGAGAGGGAUGCGGAAUUCCAGGUGUAGCGGUGAAAUGCGUAGAUAUCCUAAGGAACACCGGUGGCGAAAGCGGCUCACUGGAUCUUUUCUGACGCUGAGGCACGAAAGCUAGGGUAGCGAACGGG